UGAAAUAAUAUAUCUUUAAAAAAAUAUAUUUUGUAAUUUUUAUUUGAGAUUUCUCAUUAUUUUUAUACUCAUAUCAAACUUAUUUGUCUUGUUUUUUAUUUUGUUAAAGAGAUAUUUCAUAAAUUACCAACACAAAAACAAUAUUCUGCUUGUAAAUUCGUCAUUAUACAAGAAGCACGAAGUAUUUCUUAAUAAAUUAUCAGAUUUUCAAUGUAGAAGUGCGAAUGAAAAUUGUAAUUUCCAGCAGUAAGAGUUUAAUAUGUGUGUUUAAUAAUAGCAAUAGCAUUGCGUUAUCAAGCACAAGGUUGUUGGUUCGAAUCCCCGGGAACACAUGAUAAGUAAAAAUUGUUAGCCUGAAUGUACUGUAAGUCGCUUUGGAUAAAAGCGUCUUGGUAAAUGCAUAAAUUUAAUUUAAUAUGUGUAUAUUUUGUUCAGUGUUAAACCGUAUAGAGAUGUGAAACUGUGCAGGGAAAGUGACAUUUGGAACGACUCUCGCUGAACUUUUACGUUUCUUCCGAUCUUGUGACGAUCUGUCUGUCGUUCGUAGGAAUGAAAGUGUCUUGCGAUGUGUUUUGCCGCAGCUGCUGUGUUUCUGUAGGAGUUACAGUGUUGGUGAUUCAGCGGCUGGAAUCGAAAGCGACACAAGAGAAGUGAAAGCACCUGACGGGGAUUUCAGAACUGUAACUGGGAUUUUUCUGAGGUCACCAAGAGUAUGCCGUUACCCACAAUCCACUGCGUGACUCUCGUGCCAAUACGGAUGAUGUUCCCAAAUGCUGGUCUGGAUCCCUGAGAGGCCUGUGGACACACAGAUAUCAUGCAGCCGAGUAACGAGUAAAUCUGAUGGACAAUAACACUGAUGCAUCGUUUCCAGGAAAGACCUCCGUGAUAUCGACCCCUCCUGUGUCUGCUGUCUCUCUUCUGCUCUUAUUAAAGACACAGCGUGCUGAAUACAGGCA